rnacentral:lncRNA from 1 species
AAGAAAUCUAACUGCAUUUAGAAAAAUUCAAUGGAAACUUUUCAAAUAUAAUCCGAAAAUCGAAAGCUGUCUGCAUGUGAAACUUUAUAUUUCAAAUAUUUUUUCACAACAGGUCAGUUGAAACUGUUCUGGAUUUUUCUUUGAAUUGAUGGAACACUCUUCCUUUCUUUAGACUGUUUAUAUCCGAACGGUAAGUGAAGAGGGCGGUACAAACAUGGGACCAGGUUAUGUAUGAUAAGUGGAGUGAAGUUAGAAGGAAUAAAGUAGGAAAAUUUCAUCAAAAUUUGUAAAUUGGGAGUUUUUAUGAAGAUGCAGGUCUCUGUAGUCAACCAAUACGUAAAGUAGCAAAAUACUUUACAAUUUCAAACAUAUUGGCACUCGGAUUUUCGGUUUUGAAAUAAGUAUAGCGUCGUAUUUGAUAAAGGGGCAUUAGCUGUCAAAUUCAUAUUCUCUGCUUUGACUCAAGUUUUCACAUUUUAUUUAUGUCAUACUAAAACGUACUAGUAUAAUUAUACAAAUUAUAAAGUCUCAUAUGAAUCGGCACUUCGUGUGUAUUUUAGUCUAGACCCUAUCUAGUUAACCAUAAUGGUCACCUCGGAACACUGCCGACGGUCAUUUGACCUGAUACAAACAUUUAUUUACUUUAAUUAAAGAUAGAUAGCGAACUCGUGCAAUUGGAUUUUUUAGGUCAUUUCAUAUAAUAGGUUAAAAUGUAUGUUAAUCAUAGUUUUUACCUGUAUACGAAAGAGGUUUUGUGGAUCGAAUCAGUUUACCAUAUUUUCACUCUUUUUUGUUUCACUUGUUUUUCUUUUUAAUAACUGAACACGCAUAAUUCAUGCGGAACCCAUAUCCAGUUAAAGGGUAAAAUUGAAGGUCACAUGACUACAGAUUCAAUGAUGUCCAAUAAUUCACUUGCAAGUGAACGAUAUUUCUUAAAUUAUUUUGUUUUGCCCAAAUGAUCCCAUCUCGUAAGACAGGAAUUAACAAACUAUAGAAAAGGGGGGUCCUUCGUACCUUUUUUUAAUUUUCAGCCCAUUUUUUUUUUCUAUUAUUUGGUCCUUAAUUCUGCACAUUUAAUCAUUAUUUUCUAUGCUUUAAACCCGAUGCAGACCCUCGCGAAAACGAUCCUCCCACUCGAUUGGCGUCAGAUGGAGUUGUAUUAUAUCCACUCAAAUGUCUUACAUGUUGUUAUCAAUAAGAUACGAUUGUAUGUUUUGCCAAUCAAAUAAAAGAUUAAAUGAAAGAGAGUUAGGCAAGAUACAAUUUUG